rnacentral:rRNA from 1 species
UACGUAUGGUGCGAACGUUGUUCGGAAUCACUGGGCAUAAAGAGCACGUAGGCGGUUAAGCAAGUCCAUUGUGAAAUCCCCCGGCCUAACCGGGGAACUGCAUUGGAUACUACUUGACUUGAGUGCAGGAGGGGAGAGUGGAAUUCCAGGUGGAGCGGUGAAAUGCGUAGAUAUCUGGAGGAACGCCGGUGGCGAAGGCGGCCAGCUGGACGAAUACUGACGCUGAGACUCGAAAGCGUGGGGAGCAAACAGG